GGGCGGAUGGCGGAAUUGGCAUACGCGGCAGCCUUAGGAGCUGUUGGGGUAACCCUUGGAGGUUCAAAUCCUCUUCCGCCCA
rnacentral:tRNA from 1 species